UACGGAGGGUGCAAGCGUUAUCCGGAAUCAUUGGGUUUAAAGGGUCCGCAGGCGGAUUUAUAAGUCAGUGGUGAAAGCCCGUCGCUUAACGACGGAACUGCCAUUGAUACUGUAAGUCUUGAAUUCGAUCGAAGUGGGCGGAAUAUGACAUGUAGCGGUGAAAUGCUUAGAUAUGUCAUAGAACACCGAUAGCGAAGGCAGCUCACUAGGUCUGGAUUGACGCUCAGGGACGAAAGCGUGGGGAGCGAACGGG
rnacentral:rRNA from 1 species